CAAAGUAUUACACAUUAAGCCUCAAGAUUCUUAUCUGAAUCUUCCUUUGAAGGGUGUUGUUGAGUUGCUUGGCAUAAAAGAGCCUACUAAAUGUGUUGUUGUCGGUAAGAUAACAAGGAUCAUUACCGAUAAAGGAUGGAACUACUUAGCAUGUCGUAAGUGCCAUAAGAAGGUCGUCAAAUUGGAAAAAACUGAUUCAGAGAAGAACACUAAAGUCUACUAUGAUUGUGAAAACUGUAAAAUUGUUCUGGAUGUUUAUCGCAAAAUCAAGCUGCAAGUCCUGGUCGAAGACAAAUCUGGAAGUGGCCCAAUAUGGAUUUUUGAAAACGUUGUGACCAAACUGGUUAAUCGAUCCGCCUCAUACCUGAUAAACAAAAUUAAACCGGGACACACCCAUCAUAUAUACCCAGAUGAAUUUAACACAAUACUCGACAAAACGUAUGCCAUCAAAGUUGAAGUUAC